CUUGGUCAUUUAGAGGAAGUAAAAGUCGUAACAAGGUUUCCGUAGGUGAACCUGCGGAAGGAUCAUUAUUGAAGUAAACCUGAUGAGUUGCUGCUGGUUCUCUAGGGAGCAUUGUGCACACUUGUCAUCUUUAUAUUUCCACCUGUGAACCUUUUGUAGACCUGGAUAUCUCUCUGAGUACUUGUGCUCAGGUUUGAGGACUUGACCCUCCUUACAUUUCCAGGCCUAUGUUUCUUCAUAUACCCGAUCUAUGUUAUAGAAUGUAAUAAAUGAGCCUUUGUGCCUAUAAACCUUAUACAACUUUCAGCAACGGAUCUCUUGGCUCUCGCAUCGAUGAAGAACGCAGCGAAAUGCGAUAAGUAAUGUGAAUUGCAGAAUUCAGUGAAUCAUCGAAUCUUUGAACGCACCUUGCGCUCCUUGGUAUUCCGAGGAGCAUGCCUGUUUGAGUGUCAUUAAUAUGUCAACCUCUUCAAGCUUUUGCCUGUUGAGUGUUGGAUGUGGGGGGUCUUUUUUGCUGGCUUCUCUUUCUGAGGUCAGCUCCCCUGAAAUGCAUUAGCGGGAACAAUUUGUUGAUCGUUCAUUGGUGUGAUAAUUAUCUACGCUAUUGACGUUAAGCAGUUCAGCUUCUAACAGUCCAUUGACUUGGACAAAUUUUCAUUAAUGUGACCUCAAAUCAGGUAGGAAUACCCGCUGAACUUAAGCAUAUCAAUAAGCGGA
rnacentral:rRNA from 1 species